rnacentral:rRNA from 1 species
GUCGAACGGCAGCACGGGAGCAAUCCUGGUGGCGAGUGGCGAACGGGUGAGUAAUAUAUCGGAACGUGCCCAGUCGUGGGGGAUAACGCAGCGAAAGCUGUGCUAAUACCGCAUACAAUCUCUGGAUGAAAGCGGGGGACUCGCAAGGGCCUCGCGCGAUUGGAGCGGCCGAUAUCAUAUUAUCUAGUUGGUGGGGUAAAACCCCACCAAGGCGACAAUCUGUAGCUGGUCUGAGAGGACAACCACCCACACUGGAACUGAGACACGGUCCAAACUCCUACGGGAGGCAGCAGUGGGGAAUUUUGGACAAUGGGCGAAAGCCUGAUCCAGCAAUGCCGCGUGCAGGAUGAAGGCCUUCGGGUUGUAAACUGCUUUUGUACGGAACGAAACGGUCGCCUCUAAUACGGGUGGCUAAUGACGGUACCGUAAAAAUAAGCACCGGCUAACUACGUGCCAGCAGCCGCGGUAAUACGUAGGGUGCGAGCGUUAAUCGGAAUUACUGGGCGUAAAGCGUGCGCAGGCGGUUAUAUAAGACAGAUGUGAAAUCCCCGGGCUCAACCUGGGACCUGCAUAUGUGACUGUAUAGCUAGAGUACGGUAGAGGGGGGAUGGAAUUCCGCGUGUACCAGUGAAAUGCGUAGAUAUGCGGAGGAACACCGAU